UGAAGAAGAACUCAGUUUAAAACUAGCGUAUCCUGCGGCAACGACUGAGUGACCAACAUCGUGUUGA
rnacentral:sRNA from 1 species